CCUACGGGCGGCAGCAGUCGAGAAUCAUUCACAAUGGGGGAAACCCUGAUGGUGCGACGCCGCGUGGGGGAAUGAAGGUCUUCGGAUUGUAAACCCCUGUCAUGUGGGAGCAAAUUAAAAAGAUAGUACCACAAGAGGAAGAGACGGCUAACUCUGUGCCAGCAGCCGCGGUAAUACAGAGGUCUCAAGCGUUGUUCGGAAUCACUGGGCGUAAGGCGUGCGUAGGCUGUUUCGUAAGUCGUGUGUGAAAGGCGCGGGCUCAACCCGCGGACGGCACAUGAUACUGCGAGACUAGAGUAAUGGAGGGGGAACCGGAAUUCUCGGUGUAGCAGUGAAAUGCGUAGAUAUCGAGAGGAACACUCGUGGCGAAGGCGGGUUCCUGGACAUUAACUUACGCUGAGGCACGAAGGCCAGGGGAGCGAAAGGGAUUAGAUACCCCAGUAGUC
rnacentral:rRNA from 1 species